CCUACGGGGGACAGCAGUGAGGAAUAUUGGUCAAUGGGCGCGAGCCUGAACCAGCCAAGUCGCGUGAGGGAAGACGGUCCUAUGGAUUGUAAACCUCUUUUGUCGGGGAGCAAAAGACGCCACGCGUGGCGUUCCGAGAGUACCCGAAGAAAAAGCAUCGGCUAACUCCGUGCCAGCAGCCGCGGUAAUACGGAGGAUGCGAGCGUUAUCCGGAUUUAUUGGGUUUAAAGGGUGCGCAGGCGGAAGAUCAGGUCAGCGGUAAAAGUGAGAGGCUCAACCUCUUCGAGCCGUUGAAACUGGUUUUCUUGAGUGAGUGAGAAGUAUGCGGAAUGCGUGGUGUAGCGGUGAAAUGCAUAGAUAUCACGCAGAACUCCGAUUGCGAAGGCAGCAUACCGGCGCUCAACUGACGCUCAUGCACGAAAGUGUGGGUAUCGAACAGGAUUAGAUACCCUGGUAGUC
rnacentral:rRNA from 1 species